UACGAAGGGUGCAAGCGUUACUCGGAAUUACUGGGCGUAAAGCGUGCGUAGGUGGUUUGUUAAGUCUGUUGUGAAAGCCCGGGGCUCAACCUGGGAAUGGCAAUGGAUACUGGCAAGCUAGAGUGCGGUAGAGGGUAGUGGAAUUCCCGGUGUAGCGGUGAAAUGCGUAGAGAUCGGGAGGAACACCAGUGGCGAAGGCGGCUACCUGGACCAGCACUGACACUGAGGCACGAAAGCGUGGGGAGCAAACAGG
rnacentral:rRNA from 1 species